rnacentral:lncRNA from 1 species
GUUCGACGUGGUGAACGAGAACGAGCUGAUCAUCGAGAGCUGCGCGGAGAACGGCGAAGGGAACUCCGCCUCGAGGAAGGGCUUCUACCGCCGGUUCCUCUUCCCGAGCCUCGUCAGCGUUGAUACUGUGCGCUCAAUGUUGUCCCGCGACGGCAUCCUCACCAUCACCGUAGCUAAGAAGGCAACGUCCGAUCUAAACACUGGAGACAUUUCGUAGCCUCCAAGAAACCAGAUGAACGCAGACGCAGAAUUCAGAGGCUCGUGUUGGGUAUGCUGCUAAAUAUCCAGGCUCCAGCGAAUGGGAACUAGAGAUGGAAUGAUCCUCUCAAGAAAAAUGAAAAGGGAUUCUGUACUUUGAUGUCCGUCCGAAGUUUCUGUCGACAUUACAGUACUGUUAAUGGGUUUUAUCCACCAGUUUGGACAGAGGGUGCUUUAGCGUAGAGAUCGGAUGCGGGUCCAUAAAAGUACCAUUCUUACCUGUGCUGAGUCUUCCAAUUCCAGAAAUCAGGUGUGUCUCCUGAGAAGAGUCUGGUCGAAAUUUCACUCUCAUUAAGUCAAGAUUACACGAAAAAUUGAUAGACGACGAUGAUUUCAAAAUUAUCUAACACUUUCAUACACAAAAAUAAAUGCAUAUCUAUCAGUCUAGACAUGCAUAUCUACCAUACAGAUAGAAAACAUAAAUGUAUAUUUAUUUGAUAGAUCGAUAGAUAUGCAUUCAUUUCGGUGUAUAUGGGUCUGUUUAUACGAAUAUUCGUUGGGUCGGGCCUGGAACAAUUCUAACAAACCGGCCGCUUAUCUAUAUACCUCAGUAUCAGAUGUGCUUGAUGAAGAACGGCAGUUAGACCAGGUGUGCGUCCUUCCCAGACUAGGUAAAGCACGACUGUCUUCCAGAACUAUCAAGUGGAAGUGUAAAUGUUAUGUGUGCAAUACUCUUCAACGUCAUAAUAUCUAUAUACAUUUAUAUAACAAAUGUUUUUAUAUGUUGCCUUUGUUGACUAUAUCAGUAAUAUGGUUGAAAUUACUCAUGCCGUAGCACAUGAUAAAGAAUAAUAAUGUCAUUCAUUCUAACAUAUAUGCGCGUAUAUUGGCAAAGUAAUUAUUACAUGAAAGACCACUAAAUUACAAAUUUAUGUAAGCAUUAUGAUGGAACCUGUGGAUAUAUUCUUAUUUCACUAACUCCAUAGUUUCGUUUACAUUCACUGAUUAUGAUCUAUAAUAAAGGAUAAAUGCCA